rnacentral:rRNA from 1 species
CCAGACUCCUACGGGAGGCAGCAGUGGGGGAUAUUGCACAAUGGGGGGAACCCUGAUGCAGCGACGCCGCGUGGGUGAAGGAGUGCUUCGGCAUGUAAAGUCCUAUCGGCAGGGAAGGAGCAAGACGGUACCUGACUAAGAAGCCCCGGCUAACUACGUGCCAGCAGCCGCGGGAAUACGGAAGGUCCGGGCGUUAUCCGGAUUUAUUGGGUUUAAAGGGAGCGUAGGCCGGUCUUUAAGCGUGCCGUGAAAUUUUGUGGCUCAACCAUGAGAGUGCGGCGCGAACGGGAGACCUUGAGUGCGCGGAAGGCAGGCGGAAUUCGUGGUGUAGCGGUGAAAUGCUUAGAUAUCACGAAGAACCCCGAUUGCGAAGGCAGCCUGCCGCAGCGUUACUGACGCUGAAGCUCGAAAGCGCGGGUAUCGAACAGGAUUAGAUACCCUAGUA